UACAGAGGGGGCAAGCGUUAUUCGGAAUUAUUGGGCGUAAAGGGCGCGUAGGCGGCUUGGCAAGUGGAAGGUGAAAUCCCUCGGCUCAACUGAGGAAGUGCGCCCGAAACUGCAGAGCUUGAGUACCGGAGAGGAUGGCGGAAUUCCCCAAGUAGAGGUGAAAUUCGUAGAUAUUAGGAAGAACACCGGUGGCGAAGGCGGCCCACUGGCUCGAUACUGACGCUGAGGUGCGAAAGCGUGGGGAGCAAACAGG
rnacentral:rRNA from 1 species